rnacentral:misc_RNA from 1 species
UUUCCGUAGGUGAACCUGCGGAAGGAUCAUUACAAAUCCACUUGCUUCUUGUACCUGUUGCAUAAUGUGAGCGAGCGAGGGUUAGAGCGAGCGAGCGAGCGAGCCAGUCUCUGGCCCGUCUCGUCUCCCUCUCUCUCCCUCCCUCUCGCUCUCUCUUAUAUUUGACCCCACGGACCCCAAUGAGCACCACAAAUGUACACAACACACAACCUAGAAACAACUUAUAACAAUGGAUCUCUAGGCUCUU